ACCUGGAGCGGGGGAUUCAAUUAGUCAAGAUUCAAAAGCUGAAAGCAUUUAAAUGCAUGAUAUGCAUGAAACUAACCAAGUUUUGAGAGAGCAAGUUAAGUUCGGCUUUAGAUCACGCUACUUUGUUCUAAGUUGAUUUGUGAAAUGUUUUUGUAUUAUAACAUUUAAGAACAAUAGAUCCACCCAAGGUAUUAAACAGAGAGCUUACCAUAAUAUAUACAUAUACUGCUGAGUUGAAAAUUAACAAUCGAUGCAUGCAUCAAGAUAAUUGCAAAAAAUGUGAAAUUUCACCAGUUAGUACAUGAAUUUGGAAUGACAUUGUAUGGGCAUAUAUGUUUUGAAAAAUGAAUCACAAUCAAGCAUACAUCUGAAAAAUGUUUAAACAAUAACCACUAAAAUUGUUACAAAAAUGGAUUCGAGCAUGUUAAGAUUUCCAUAUCAAAAGGAUUAAGGACGUAAAGAGGAUGUGGAUGCCAUCCCACAGGUAAGAACAUUAUGCCAAUUCAAGCUUGGUAACAAAUCAUCUCUUGGUCAACUUGGCUAAGGAUGAUCUGUCAACCUGUAACCUUCAACUGAGUCCUCUUUACAUUUACAAGACGUGAUAGUCCGGAGGAGGAGGACAUGUAAGAAUGCCUGUAAGAAGCCUUAACUAGCUCAAUUUCCAUUAAGUGCCUCGCACAAAUCUACUUCACUUGGUAGAGGCAUUAGUCAAUAAAAACAUGAAAUGCAUGCUAUACUCUCUUAUUUCAAUGGAUGCAAGUAAAAGCCUGCAUUAAUCUAAAACAUAUACAUCAGCAAAGAUUGAAAUAACAAGUUUCCUAGAAAGUAGAAGACUGCAGUGCGUUUGAACCACUAUGACAAAAUUUAUUAACCAAUACUCACUGCUCUGACCAAAACUUCAUAAUCUAAACAUUUAAGUCCAAGUUCAAGUCCAUAACUUGAGUCCAGUUCAAGUUCAAGUCCAUAAAUAUAUUUUCAACCUGGAGAUUUGAUCAGGGAGUUUUUCAAUCAGAAGACAUAAAAAUUUACCAGUUAACUAUGAUGGCUUUGUCUUUUGUCCGACUCGAGUGAUUCGUCUCAGAUUUUGUGUUCCCUGCCUCAUUUCUCUGCAUAAGGACAAAAAUUUUUUAUGAAAAUAAUUCUAAACCUCUGUUAAUUUGGAAUUUUCAAAAACUAGAAAUGUACCUUUGAUACAAAUAAACAAUAAGAUAAAAAAGAGGCAGCAGCAUCAAAGUCAGUAUUGACAAAGCAAGGUAGAUAACACUUGUUUGCUUCUGUAUGAAAAAAAAAAGAAGAGAAAGAAAAAUGUGAGACAGAGCAUCUAAAUCAAGAAUAAUAUAAGCAACAGACUAUACGAUUAUUUUAAUGGUCUAGUAGAUCAAAUAAAGAAAGCAAAAGAUGGAGAAUUGUAAAUUUUCAAGCAUUCAAAGAAAUUUACAUAGUAUUGUUAAGUGAGUUCCCUUAACCUAGUAAUACUCUUGGAGUUCUUUGGACUACUCAAAAGAAACAAUCAAUGAUAAAAGUCAUGAAAAUUUUAGAAUAUUUCUAUAUUUUUUUCCUUUUCUUUUAAGAACUUUGUGGCUGGCAAAUCAAGUACAACCUAAUAUGGGCAUGAAAAUUAUGCAAACUGGAUGCUAGGAAUUCUGAUAAUCACAGAAUUAGUGUUGAGGCUCGGCUGCAAAUUUGACCUCUCAUGCAACCGCUGUACACAGAGUAAAAUCUUACCUUGCGACCUUUAGGAAAAUGCUUUUUUUUCCCUGAACAAGUGUGAGCAUCACAGAAUUGGUGCAAAAACAAUUCUACAAGUAAGAACAUAAGCAAUAGAAAUUAGUGAAUACAACAAAUGCUUUUUAAACUAAUGAUUUAGCCAGUAUAAUAGCAUCAGGCUGCCACAAAAAACUAAAGAAGAAAAAAAAGUAGUUUAUCUUGCUGAUUUACAAAACAAAAGUACCAUGCAGGUGGCUUGCUGAACGACCUUGAUUAAGAGGAAAACAGGUAUCUGCAAGACUCUCACAAAGAUGGCGAUUUUUCGCAACAGCUGCAGGAUUGCAUUUUGUCUUUGGUGAUUUGGAAUUCAUCACAAAAUCACAAUGCAAUGCACCACAUAAAUCAGCCAAGCACUUGCCCUCGCUAACAUUCAGAAGAUUGUAGUGCCUGCUGUCAAAAUGCUGAUCAAUAUAUUUUUCAGCGCGGAAGCUCUUCUUACAAUAUCCACACUUCCAUUCAUUUAUGUCCACGUGAAUUUUAUGCUGCUCUUGAUCCCUGAAGAGAUCAUUGUCAGGAUGAAGUCUACAUUUACUAGAAAUCUGGUAAUUUUCCCGUUCAACAAAUGGCAUCAAAUACUCCUCUACAAUGUUCCAUGCAGCCCUACUUCUUUCUCUAGAACAAUGUACUUCAUGUGCGUGCUGUUUUUCUUGCUUAACAGUUCUUUCAGCUGCAUCUUCUCCAAUUUCCUUGGAUAGCGUUUGUUGUAGGAAAAAUGAAAUCAAGAGAAGAAUUAGAGUUGUUGCCGUCGUUUUCUCCAUCUGUUUCUCGAGUUAGGAGAAUCGGCGAAUUCUGCAAAUAUUUUCCAGGAAAAUGCUUCAGCCUGUUUGGCUAGUAGUGGAUUCGUAUUCUAGUUGAUGAUAGACAUUUUUCCCAUUCGAACAAAGGAUGUCAGGAAGGUUAUAGCCACAAUGAGGGAUUUGCAAGGAUU
rnacentral:misc_RNA from 1 species